GAUGAAGAACGUAGCGAAAUGCGAUACUUGGUGUGUAUUGCAGAAUCCCGUGAACCAUCGAGUCUUUGAACGCAAGUUGCGCCCGAAGCCAUUAGGCCGAGGGCACGCCUGCCUGGGCGUCACACGUCGUUGCCCCCCCAUCUACUCCUUCGGGAUUGCGGGGGGCGGAUGAUGGCCUCUCGUGCGCCUCGUCGCGCGGUUGGCCUAAAUGCCAAGUCCUCGGCGACGCACGCCACGACAAUCGGUGGUUGCGAAACCUCGGUUGCCUGUCGUGUGCGGUCGUCGCGCAUCGAGGGCUCGAAAAAAUUGCCGGGCUUCGGCUCGACUUUCAACGCGACCCCAGGUCAGGCGGGGUUACCCGCUGAAUUUAAGCAUAUCAAUAAGCGGAGGA
rnacentral:misc_RNA from 1 species